rnacentral:rRNA from 1 species
UGGGGAAUUUUGGACAAUGGGCGCAAGCCUGAUCCAGCCAUGCCGCGUGCAGGAUGAAGGCCUUCGGGUUGUAAACUGCUUUUGUACGGAACGAAAAGACUCUGGUUAAUACCUGGGGUCCAUGACGGUACCGUAAGAAUAAGCACCGGCUAACUACGUGCCAGCAGCCGCGGUAAUACGUAGGGUGCGAGCGUUAAUCGGAAUUACUGGGCGUAAAGCGUGCGCAGGCGGUUAUAUAAGACAGAUGUGAAAUCCCCGGGCUCAACCUGGGAACUGCAUUUGUGACUGUAUAGCUAGAGUACGGCAGAGGGGGAUGGAAUUCCGCGUGUAGCAGUGAAAUGCGUAGAUAUGCGGAGGAACACCGAUGGCGAAGGCAAUCCCCUGGGCCUGUACUGACGCUCAUGCACGAAAGCGUGGGGAGCAAACA